rnacentral:rRNA from 1 species
AGAACGAACGCUGGCGGCAUGCCUAACACAUGCAAGUCGAACGCUCUUGGGAUUUCGGUCUCAAGGGAGUGGCGCACGGGUGAGUAGCGCGUGGGAACCUGCCCUGUUGUGGGGGAUAACCGAGGGAAACUUCGGCUAAUACCGCAUGCGCCCCCGGGAGUGAUCCUGGGGGGAAAGAUUUAUCGCAGCAGGAGGGGCCCGCGUCGGAUUAGGUAGUUGGUGGGGUAACGGCCCACCAAGCCUGUGAUCCGUAGCUGGUCUGAGAGGAUGAUCAGCCACACUGGGACUGAGACACGGCCCAGACUCCUACGGGAGGCAGCAGUGGGGAAUAUUGGACAAUGGGGGCAACCCUGAUCCAGCCAUGCCGCGUGAGUGAUGAAGGCCUUCGGGUUGUAAAGCUCUUUUGGCGGGGACGAUGAUGACGGUACCCGCAGAAUAAGCCCGGCUAACUUCGUGCCAGCAGCCGC